GACCUAACACCGAAAAUGCCAUGAAAACUUUUGACUGCAUAGAACUAGUGUUAAAUAAAAUGCGAGAUGGUAUUAAAAAGUUGUCUUUCGAUAGUGACGAAAAUAUGAGCGAAAAUUUUAAUCAGCCGGAAAGGCCAACUUUGGAUACCGUUUGUAAUAAUAAUAAUAAUAAUAAUAAUAAUAAUAAUAAUAAUAAUAAUAAUAAUAAUUCGUACAGCCAUUGAUCUCUUCCGAGAUAUCGGAACCGUCGUAUCGAGCAUGUUAACUUUGUUAGUUAACAAAAUCAUCAAGUUUAUAAUAACAAUGCUCUAAUAAAUAUGAUUUUAACUUAGAUUUAAAUUGUGUCAGCGAAUUUAGCAAACGAAUGUCCUGCGGCAAAUUUCUGAAAAUCUGAACAGACUUAUAAUAAACACCAUUUUUAAAAAAAGAGGAGUUAUGUUCUGGAAUUCGGAUGUCUUUACAGAACCUUGUAACUUUAUUGAAACUUACAUCAUAUUUGUCUUUAUUUUUUUCAAAGAGAUGCUCAUUCUCUUUCACAAAUACUGCGAGACUGUAGAUAUACAUUGAUGUUAGAGGUAGAAUUCCAAGUGAUUUAAAAAAGGGCUUACAACUCUCAUGUGGUUUUUUGAAAAGCAUGCAUCGUAUGAUUCUUUUUUGCAACACAAAGGCUUCUUUUGAACUGGUAGAAGAGCCCCAAAAUAUUAAUCCAUACGAGAGAGUAGAGUGUACAUACGCAAAAUAAAACAUUUUUAAAGUAUCUAUACUUACACUAGUGCGCAAGUUACGAAUAAUGUAUGAAUAUUUGGCUAGUUUGCGACAUACAUAAUUACUAUGUGCGCUAAAUUUUAAAGCUUUAUCGAUGUAUAAGCCUAAAAACUUUACUUCAUCGGCCAACGGAACAGAUUUUGUACCAAGCUUAAUAUAGAUACUGGAUGACAUUGGGCCAUUUCUAUAUUGUACCACAAGAGUUUUGUUCAUAUUUAAUUCUAAAAACUGAGCCUCACAAUAUUUAUACAUUUUAGAAAUUGCGUCCGAAGCUUCCGCAGAAGUAGUGUGUAGGUCUUUACCUAUUGCUAUACAAGAUGUAUCAUCAGCAAAUUGACAGGCAGCGGCCCCAAUAUGGAUCCUUGAGGAACACCUUUUGAAAUGGUUAUUGGCUCGGACAACACAUUCAA